rnacentral:tRNA from 1 species
GCCUGGGUGGCUCAGUGGGUUAAAGCUUCUGCCUUCAGCUCAGGUCAUGAUCCCAGGGACCUGGGAUCGAGCCCCAGAUCGGGCU